GCGAGGCGAGGAGGGCCGGGCCGCCACGGUGGGGCGAAAAGCCCUGAAAGUUCCUCUCAGUUCCUUCCGGUGCGCCUCCCGCUCGCCCUUGCGGAGGCCCUGAGGGCGGAUUCAAGGCCCCGCGAGAAGCCAUCUGAGGCGGCGACGACUGUUCUCAGCCCCACGGGAACGCCGCGGACGCAGCGUCCCUCUCCCGGACAAGAAAACAGCCAUUCUAGAGUUUGACUGAUAUUACAAAGGAUCCAGACUUUAAUGAAAUCUAUGAUGAAGACGUGAAUGAAGAUCCAACAUAUGAUCCCAACAGCCCUGAAGAAACAGCUGUAUUUAUGAAAUAUGCUGAAAAUAUUAUGCUAAAGUUAACAUUCAGUACCACACAAAUUCAACAGUAUGAAAAUGUCUUUAUAUUUGAAACAGGCUAUUGGCUUACUAAUGCUAUAAAAUAUAAUCAGGAUUAUCUUGAUAUCUGUACCUACCAGAGACUACAGCAAAGAUUAUAUCUUCAAAAAAAGAUUAUUCAAAAACACUUUGAGAAGAAAAAAGAUAUCAGAAGAGGGAUAGGAUACCUAAAGUUAAUAUGUUUUCUGAUUCCAUUUCUACUGAGUUUAAAGAAGAAAAUGAAAGUUCCAUAUUUAAGUAGUCUGCUUCAGCCUUUUUCAGGAAUCAGUGCACUCCACUGUUACUUGCUGCCACUUCAGGAGCACUGGACACUAUUCAAUACCUGUUUUCUAUCGGUGCUAACUGGAGAAAAACAGAUAUUAAAGGAAAUAAUAUAAUCCAUUUAUCAGUGUUAACCUUUCAUACAGAGGUUCUCAAAUAUAUAAUAAAAUUAAAUAUUCCUGAACUCCCAGUGUGGAAAACUUUGGUAGGCACCAUUCCUGCCUUAAUCAAUCUAUUAAAAAGUUCCAAAAUAAAACUGCAGUGCAAAACUGUUGGGUUAUUGAGUAAUAUCUCAACCCACAAAAGUGCAGUGCAUGCUUUGGUAGAAGCGGGAGGCAUUCCAUCUCUAAUCAACCUACUGGUUUGUGAUGAGCCUGAAGUACACUCUCGCUGUGCUGUCAUUCUAUAUGAUAUUGCUCAAUGUGAAAACAAGGAUGUUAUUGCCAAAUAUGUAAGUUCCUUUCAUAUACAAUUAUUUUUGACUGACAAUAACUCCCUCAUAUAGAAGUUACAAAAAUAGAAACCCACGUUACUAUUCAGUGACAAAACUCUCAGGGAAGAAUACAGCAGGGAAAAGGGAGAGAGGGUGCCUGAUGAAAACUCCACCGAAAAGUUGGCAUUUGAGUACGGUCCAGAAGUAGAUGAGGGAGUAUUUUCAUAAGUUAGUGUAUGUUGAUUGCUUCUUGCUGUUUACCAAUUACAGUGCAGUGUCUACAAUGGCAAAUAUUUCCUAAUGGGGCAAUAUAUUCAAUUAAUCUCAUUUGCUUCACUUAGAUAGCUAUAUUAACUGUCACAUAAUGUAUCUUAUCAGUAGACACAUUUGUUUGUGGCACUCAUUCUCUCCCAAAUAGUUAUUUACAGCAAGAAAGAUUACAGACUUGUGUUUCUUUUUUUCUUUUUUUUUUUGAAACAGUCUUGCUCUGUCACCAGGCUGGGGUGCAAUGGUGCAAUCUUGGCUCACUGCAACCUCUGCCUCGUGGGUUCAAGUGAUUCUCCUGCCUCAUCCUCCCGAGUAGCUGGAACUACAGGCACGUGCCACCACGCCUGGCUAAUUUUUGUAUUUUUAGUAGAGAUGGGGUUUCACCAUGUUGGCCAGGAUGGUCUUGAUCUCUUGACCUUGUGAUCCGCCUGCCUCGGCCUCCCAAAGUGCUGGGAUUACAGGCGUGAGCCACCACUUCCGGCCAACUUGUAUUUCUAAAU
rnacentral:lncRNA from 1 species